rnacentral:lncRNA from 1 species
CACAGUUAUUAAUUGAAAAUUGCUUAAGGUUUAUAUUAAACUUUUACAUCUGAAGCUAUUUUGUAUCUCCAAAAAGAAAAUUAUUUCUCAUACCGAUAUUGAUUCAAAUGAUGUAGCAACCUUGCCUGCAACAUGAAAUACAUUUUGUUUUGUUUUAACAUUGACUGUGAUAUUGUUUAUGGAAAGUUGUAUAUGUAUAUUCAAAGUUGUAUGCAUUAGCUAUUUCCAGGACAUGUUAGUACUAUUUACAUUCUAUAUUUAAUAUGUUUAUUAAGUAUCGGAAAAUAAAUUUAUUAUGGGGUUUACUGAUGUGUUAACAGAAGGUAAAGCAUCAUUGUUAUUACUUUAUCAACUUUUAAGGGGGCGGGGGACCUAAUUCUAUCGGUCAAAAUAAUCAUAUAAUGUAAUAUUAAAAGUUGAACCUUUUUUUUUUUUUUUUUUUUUUUUUUUUUUUAAAUAUUUCAGUAUUUUGAUACAACUUUUUAAGUAACAG